rnacentral:rRNA from 1 species
AACGAACACUGGCGGCAUGCCUAACACAUGCAAGUCGAACGAGAUCUUCGGGUCUAGUGGCGCACGGGUGCGUAACGCGUGGGAAUCUGCCCUUUGGUUCGGAAUAACAGUUGGAAACGACUGCUAAUACCGGAUGAUGACGAAAGUCCAAAGAUUUAUCGCCAGAGGAUGAGCCCGCGUAGGAUUAGCUAGUUGGUGUGGUAAAGGCGCACCAAGGCGACGAUCCUUAGCUGGUCUGAGAGGAUGAUCAGCCACACUGGGACUGAGACACGGCCCAGACUCCUACGGGAGGCAGCAGUGGGGAAUAUUGGACAAUGGGCGAAAGCCUGAUCCAGCAAUGCCGCGUGAGUGAUGAAGGCCUUAGGGUUGUAAAGCCCUCUUACCCGGGAUGAUAAUGACAGUACCGGGAGAAUAAGCUCCGGCUAACUCCGUGCCAGCCGCCGCGGUAA